GUGCAUAUGAUGGAAAAAUUUGAAUCUCCUGAGACUUUGUGAUGUCUUCAAAGGAACCACCGAUGCCC
ensembl:snoRNA SNORD42 Small nucleolar RNA SNORD42